GCUGGGCAUGGUGGCUCACGCCUGUAAUCCCAGCACUUUGGGAGGCCGAGGCAGGUGGAUCACCUGAGGUCAGGAGUUUGAGACCAGCCUGACCAACAUGGUGAAACCCUGUCUCUA
rnacentral:SRP_RNA from 2 species